UGCCAGAAAAAACACAUUCUUCCAUCGCUACUCUAAAUCCCAUCCCCAUCCAGACGUGACUCCAUCAAUCCACCGCUAAUUUGGUUCUUCAGCUUUUUCCACCCCACUGCUUCCUCCUUCAACUUACAAAAAUGUUCCAACUUUGUUCCUUUGUGGGGGGGGAGGGGUAGGAGUGGAAACCGCUGAGACUACUGAGUCCCUCUCAAAUGACUAUCACCUCCCUCCCCCAUCCCUACUCAACUGGCUCAGUCUCCACACCUUGAUCUUUCAUUCACCCCUAACCCUCCUGCCAUCAGUCUCCCUCUAUAAUGAACUGCUGUCAUUAAGUCCACCGUGGACUCCUAAUUACCAAAUCCCACGGACACUUCGCCACAGUGUCUCGGUCUCAAAUGAUCACUUUUCCUCCUCUGACACGUUCAACCAUUCCUUUUACAAAAAGAGUAUUUUCAGGAAACAGUUACUCUCAGACAGUUUUCUUAUCCCCCUGAAGAUUUCUCAGUUUCUUCUUAACACAUGCUUCGAUAAUUCAUCACGUCCAAUGGCGUCAACCACCACCAACUCUCCAGCCUAAAUAUCAGUCGUUGUACGGAGCUGCAAUUUUCUGACUCCUUCCGAAGAGCACCAUGGGUGUCUUACCAACAACUCAAAGUCAACAAACCCAACACGGUGCUUUUCUUUACCAGUUCUCUGCUUUUCUUGACCAAUUGCAGACAAGUUCCCCUCAAGGAACCCACCACAAUCAGUUAAACUUUCCAUCUGAAAUAUCGCCCUUAAUCCUCUUUCAUUUUCCACCAAAGGCACUGCCAGUUCCAGCCAGCCCUCAGAUCCCACUCCAGAUUAGAAUCCUUCUAAUCCAUGUCUGGAAUUACCUUUCUUUCCAUUUAUCUUCCAAAGGACAUUUUUAUUACACUGUAAAAUAAAGUGGAUAAUAGCAAAGAGUAUGUCAAACAGAAAAAGCAUUUCUCACCACACCCGAUACACCAUCCAAUAUUUUCGCAUAACACUUCCCCAACUUUUUUUUGUC
rnacentral:lncRNA from 1 species